rnacentral:lncRNA from 1 species
CUCAAAGGGGUCAAUUAACCAUAGCCCCAGACAUUCAGGAAGACAACAGAAUGGCCUAAGAAGACCACUCACCUCUUCAAAUCUAUCAAACUACCCACAUCAAAGGCAGAAAGAGACUUUAGUUUCCUCUAUCUCCAAAGUCAGAAGACAAUAAAGUGGUGUUUGGAAGGAGGUACCUGACCACACCAAGACCCAGACCAGCCAGCCCCGGGCACAGGGAAGCACAAAUACCUUUACUUAACAGAGUAAUCAGCAGCAGCAGCAACACGGAAUUGUCUGAAGCAUUAGUGAGAAGCCAGGAGUUGGGCGCUGGAGAACUCCACUAACAGAAGGCCAGUCCCAAUUCCCACAUCCACAGGCCAAGAUCAGCUUCAUACCGAGCACAAUCUCCAUGGCAAACUUGGCUGUAGUACACAGCACAUUUUUGGCAUCAGUCAUGGUCACUAUCACAGAGUGUAAUCACCAGAGAGAAAAAUGCCUGUUCAUAUGCAGCGUAAACAACCUAAGGCAAAUGUGUGACCUGCAGAUUCUGGCAAAGUCCAGACAGGCGUGA